GCACCCGUAGCUCAAUUGGAUAGAGCGUCGGUCUACGGAACCGAAGGUUGCAGGUUCGAGCCCUGCCGGGUGUA
rnacentral:tRNA from 1 species